GAUGAACGCUGGCGGCGUGCCUAAUACAUGCCAGUCGAGCGAACGGACGAGAAGCUUGCUUUUCUGAUGUUAGCGGCGGACGGGUGAGUAACACGUGGAUAACCUACCUAUAAGACUGGGAUAACUUCGGGAAACCGGAGCUAAUACCGGAUAAUAUUUUGAACCGCAUGGUUCAAAAGUGAAAGACGGUCUUGCUGUCACUUAUAGAUGGAUCCGCGCUGCAUUAGCUAGUUGGUAAGGUAACGGCUUACCAAGGCAACGAUGCAUAGCCGACCUGAGAGGGUGAUCGGCGACACUGGAACGGAGACACGGUCCAGACUCCUACGGGAGGCAGCAGUAGGGAAUCUUCGGCAAUGGGCGAAAGCCUGACGGAGCAACGCCGCGUGAGUGAUGAAGGUCUUCGGAUCGUAAAACUCUGUUAUUAGGGAAGAACAUAUGUGUAAGUAACUGUGCACAUCUUGACGGUACCUAAUCAGAAAGCCACGGCUAACUACGUG
rnacentral:rRNA from 1 species